UUGUAAUAAGUUUCAGAAGUUUGGAAAUAAGAAAAACACUUCAAGUAUAAGAAAAUUUGGCGGUUUGAUUUGGGUCGUGUAUAUAUACAGAGCAAGAGAGAAUGAAAUCAGAUCAGAACAACGGAUUCAGACCCGGACCGGGUCAUUCUCGACCCGAACGGAAUCGACGGGUCAACCCGACUUUUUCUUUGUCCUUCGACGAUGGCGUGGCGGAAGAUUAGUGGCGACGGCUUCAUCUUGUCCUUCCCGACCUCCCUGUGAUUCCAGUUUGAAAAGUUGAGCUCUGGAGAAGAAGAAUCGAAGAAGGAGAAGAGAGACUGGGUUCGCCAGCGAUCUUCGGAUUCCGGCCCCAACGACGACCACGACCGGUGCUGGUAGCUUCGCCUCAACUCCCUGAACAUCGUUGUUGUACUGGCUUUCGAAGAGAAGCCUUGAGGAGGGAGAAUCGAACAGAGGAAGUCUCUGAGUUUUCCGGCGAGUUCCCAUGUUUCCCGGCGACCUCUGUUUUCGAUCAAGAAGCUGCAUGUUUGAUGAUUUGGGUCAAGUUUCUGCAAGUGUUAAGGACUUUUGGGGUUGCUUCAUUUUGGAUGCAUGAACAGAGCAGGGGAUUGCUGUACAAUCUACACCCAGAAUUAAUAAUGAGUCUGGGGUAUUACUGUGUUCACCACUGAACCUAAUUAAGGUGAAGGUGAGCUUCGAAUUUAUAAUCAUGCAUGAGCUACAAGUGUUUAAUAUAAUACUUCUAAGUAUUGAUUCAGGAAUUUGGAAAUGGAUUAUGUGAAUGGUAAUGGUUGAUUGAGUAACAUGGAAUGUUAUAUCUGGGAAGAAAGAAUGUUUUAGAUUAAUCACAAGGGUGUGAUUGGUGAGACCAUGAGAACUUGAAUAUACAUGUUUGACGUUUAGUAUGAGUGGCUGGGCAUAGUUAUGCCUUUUAUUUGUUAAAUUGUGGUCAUUGGAGGAAUGGAGUUGAACUUUAGUAUUUAAAUUUGGUCUAUUGAAGAUGACAUACAACUUUGUUGUUAAGGAUCGAAUGAAUUCUUGUCAAAUGAAAUUAUGGUUACAUGACUGUCUUUCUUGAUAUGUGGAAAUAAUUUAGAUGGGUGUCCAUAGUAAUCGGAUGAACUACACCCAACGAGAAGAAUAAGGUCUCUUCAUAAUAGUGAUCAAUUGCUAUACAAAAUUAUUUAGUAAAGUGGAAUUGGCAGUGUUACCAUUUCAUAAAUGUUAUAUGUUGAGAGGCGAUGAGUGAACAAAAAGUUGAUCCUUUGAGUUAAUUUUAUACAAGGAUCAGUUGGUAAAUAUUUGUUGUUGUUGGACUAGGACUCCAGUUACCUGAAAAUAAAGAUGGUGGUGUUGGCCUAGAGAAACCUAAUGGAAUAAGCAGCGAUAUUCCAGAUAGGGGAUUCUGGACUUGCCUCAGUUAGUGUUUUUUGCAUAUGAUAUUAUAGUAAAGUGAUUUAUGCAUGAAAGAUAUAUUUUUUGAUUCCUUGUGAAUUAUUGUUUGAUGACCUGAGAGUGAGCGGGCCAUAGUGACUUUCUUGGGUUUCGAUCCCCUAAACCUCCGGAGGGGUUGUACGGACUGGAGGACGUUUAACAUCCUUUGAAGUGUGGCGUCGCUCCUAGACGGUAUGGCGUAAAUGGACACUCUCGCUACUCCUUGCCGGUGUGUACGAUAAUAAUCAUGUUUAUGAAUGCAGGUACUGUGUACGGAGACGGGAUAGUUGGACGACAUUGGGUGUGGCUUAGAAAUUUUGUACUUCAUGUUAUUGAUAGAGUUAAAUCCGUAUGACAAGUUUCCUUAUUUAUCGUGUCCUUGUUUAACCCUUUGAUCGAGUAUGUGUUUAUUCGAUUGUUGAUCAUGAACCGGACUGAUAUUGAUUUUUGUUCAAAGAGGGCUUGUUUGAUUUGAAAGA